CCAACUUGGCAAGCUCCGCCCAGUGCAGACCAUCCCCGCCCACAGAGAGGCGCUUUGCUCCCUGUUUGCUCUUAAGCGCGGUGCUUGCAAACUUUAACCGCUGGCGCCAGGUCUACACGCAUGCGCCAUCCUUUGAAUGCUGAGCAUUCUGAUUCUAGCUGCUACAGCCGCAGGGCUAGUGAUCUUGCUAUUCCAGCGACUAUGGACCGUGCUUGGGCCCCAUCACGUCACUCCCCGAGAGUCUCUCAGACUCUUGAUCGUGGCUGGAUCCGGUGGACACACCACUGAGAUCUUGAGGCUGGUUGGAAGCUUGUCCAAUGCCUAUUCACCAAGGCAUUAUGUCAUUGCUGAGUCUGAUGAAAUGAGUGCCAAGAAAAUCCAUUCUCUUGAAGAACUCUCUCGAGCCCAGAAUGACUCUACUACUGAAUACCCCAAGUACCACCUUCACCGAAUUCCGAGAAGCCGGGAGGUUCGGCAGUCCUGGCUCUCCUCCGUGUUCACUACCUUCUACUCCAUGUGGUUCUCCUUCCCACUGGUUCUCCGAAUAAAGCCAGAUUUGACACUCCAGAAGAGGGCAUCGGAUCCCGUUGCAGAUGGUUGUGAGCCACCAUGAUGUGGUUGCUGAGAAUUGAACUCAGGACCUCUGGAAGAGCAGUCAGUAUUCUUUACCACCAAGCCAUCUCUCUAGUCCCGCUAUGAUUUUUUUUUUUUAAAUUAGGUAUUUUUUGGAGAAAGUCAAAGCUUGUUGGCAUCAAGAUUAUCACUAUUUGAGUAGCAUAUAAAAAUAUUAUUGAUCUGCUAAUUCACAUGCGUUUAAAACAUUCUGAGGAAUCAACUUUCUGUCAAGAUGCCAGAACUCUUGGGUGCUGUGUAAUGGACCAGGAACAUGCGUCCCUAUCUGUGUGUCCGCCCUGCUUCUUGGGAUACUUGGAGUGAAGAAAGUGAUCAUCGUCUAUGUCGAGAGCAUCUGCCGAGUGGAGACGCUAUCCCUGUCAGGGAAGAUCCUGAGGCACCUCUCCGACUACUUCAUUGUUCAGUGGCCCACUCUCAAGGAGAAGUACCCCAAGUCUGUGUACCUGGGGCGAAUUGUUUGACAAAUGGCAACCCUAAGUCUUGAGAACAUUACAAGUACCGAUAAUAUUUACUAUAUACUAUCUUUACUAUAAAGUUUUUCAAAGGUCAAGGAAAUAUCAAUGGUAAAGAAUUUAAAAUGUACAAAUAACUCAAUGAAGAAAGACAAACUUUAGCAUAUAAUACCCAUCAAGUAGCUAUGUCUGCACACGAAAACAUUUUUCUAAAUAAAAGUACAUAUAACACUACUAACACUACUCACAGGUUCUCUUGGGACUCUUUGUUUGUUUGUUUGUUUUUAAUGGUUUUAGAGCUUUAUUGUAGAAAGGUAGGGAUAAAGAGAGAAGGUAAAAAGAGGGAGAGAGGCCAGCCCUGGCCACGUGGAGAGAGGGGGAAGGGAGAGAGAGAAGGAGGGCUCUACAGAGAUGAGAGUAAGAAAGGUGAGAGCUUUAAAAGCUCUCUUGGGACUCUUACAGCUGUGGGGUUUUAGUUUGGUUUUUUUUUUUUUUUUCUCUUAACCUAAAUAUAGAGUGUGUAUGUUUAGUAACAUUUCCUGUUUUACAGCUUUAAAUAAAACAAAAGUGUUCUCCAUUAUAAAAAGAAAGUACAGGAUAAGGCAGGUUGGAGGCAGGUAUUAUCAGUGUGAUCCCUCUCUCAGGAGGCGAGGGAGGAGGAUCAGGAGUUGUUGGUGUAAGGAGUGGGGACAGGGAAGUAAGGAAAAGGGGGUUGCUUAAGAGCAAGGCAUCCCUUUGGUCCUGUUCAGACUUGUCAGGCUUUACUCCUUCUGGGGAAGCCUCUUAGUGAGCUAUCUCAGCCUAAAGGAAGCAUGAGCUAUCUCAGCCUAAAGGAAGCAUGAGCUAUCUCAGCCUAAAGGAAGCAUGAGCUAUCUCAGCCUAAAGGAAGCAUGAGCUAUCUCAGCCUAAAGGAAGCAAGAGCUAUCUCAGCCUAAAGGACUCAUGAGCUAUCUCAGCCUAAAGGAAGCAAGAGCUAUCUCAGCAUAAAGGAAGCAGUUUGUUAAACUGGUUUCAUGUCCAUUUACACUCCACAGACUUCCAGAUCUCUGACUGUAAACAAGAGUCUUUCUUUAUUCUUCAGUCUGCUUGAUGUGUUGUUGGCCUGGAUCCAGACUGUAUUUUAAUAUCUGUUUGGUUAAAAUAUUGGCAGUGUCUUCAUAAUAAAUGUAUGAUUCUAUUGGUCAGGAAUCUAAAUUUUCAAAACAUGAAGAAAAAGCUUUUUUUUCCCCCAAUGGCUGUAAUUGUCUCUAGCUUUUUGAGAUGCUUAUGUCUGCCUGGUGGAGGGUGUAUUAAUAAACAUUUAUGUAGUGCUUGCUGAA